rnacentral:rRNA from 1 species
CAGUCGCCACGGUAAUACGUAGGUGGCAAGCGUUGUCCGGAAUUAUUGGGCGUAAAGGGCUCGCAGGCGGUUUCUUAAGUCUGAUGUGAAAGCCCCCGGCUCAACCGGGCAGGGUCAUUGGAAACUGGGAAACUUGAGUGCAGAAGAGGAGAGUGGAAUUCCACGUGUAGCGGUAAAAUGCGUAGAGAUGUGGAGGAACACCAGUGGCGAAGGCGACUCUCUGGUCUGUAACUGACGCUGAGGAGCGAAAGCGUGGGGAGCGAACAGGAUUAGAUACCCGAGUAGUCCCUGUCUCUUAUAC